UACAGAGGUCCCGAGCGUUGUUCGGAUUCAUUGGGCGUAAAGGGUGCGUAGGCGGCGGGGUAAGUUUGAUGUGAAAUCCCGGGGCUCAACCCUGGAAUUGCAUUGAAUACUACCUUGCUAGAGUACCGGAGAGGAAACUGGAAUUUACGGUGUAGCAGUGAAAUGCGUAGAGAUCGUAAGGAAGACCAGUGGCGAAGGCGAGUUUCUGGACGGUAACUGACGCUGAGGCACGAAGGCCAGGGGGAGCAAACGGGG
rnacentral:rRNA from 1 species